CUUCCGUGUUUUUUCUUCCGUCGAUCACAAUUAACUGAUACAGUUAUACAGUUGUUGUAAUUGGUGCUGGUUUAUUAAGAUGCAUCGUUUUCACAUAUUAAAAUUCGGUUUGGCGACGAUACUGCAGCAAUGUCUGGCGGCGCCAUAUACGUGCUACCACAAGAAAACGUGUCUAGGUUCCACGUGUCUCACGGACGCCAUAACUAAUGGAAUUGUGGACAAGUGUGCUGCCACGGAAGCGUACGGCUGUUUUUUCGACAUUACACAGCCUAAACAGGAAUCGGCAGCUUCCUCAAGCGAGGUGAAGGUGGUCGCCAAGUGCGCCUUUGAGCCGUGCAUGUCCAUAGCGGAGGUGACGUCAUCAGCCGUCCAUAUCCGCCAGUGAUGCUUCUCUGAGUUUUGCAACUCGAACAUAACAGUGGCAUCAGUUGGAGUCAACCAGUGUAACGUGGUCAACUGUUAUGGCUCGAGAUCGUCGAACAGUACGUGUUUUGAUGACGUCUUCCGAGCAGGCCACGCGGCGACGUGUAACAUGGAUAACGCAAGGGGAUGCUUCUUUUCUGCCUUGAACCACGGGAACAUGACGUCGAUACACGCAGGUUGUGCUAGUGACACGUGCACCUCGAAACAAGACAGCACGACACGCAACCUGUGCUGCAACUUCCACAAGUGCAACAACGGAACGGACUAUCCGGUGAUAUCGGCAGCCAGUUUGGACAACAGAGCCGCUACGGCCUGGAUGAUGAUUUUCACAAUUUCAGACCGUUUACUCAGACUUUGUCAGAGAUGAUACAAAUGUACAUCACAUUAAAUGGAAAUGUACUGAUCUAGUUGCAAUCGCACUUACAUGCUCGUCAGAAUGUCCUGUUUGAAAAGCUGAGAAUAUCAUGCAAAUUGUUCACGAACUAUUGUUUAUAUAUGUGUUUCAUUUUAAUGAAUAAAUUAUAUAAAAACAAUAACACACAUGAGCAUCGUACGCGGAUGUUAACCCUUGUCCACUUAGCUCGUCCUAUCAAGUGACAACAAUCCAGAUAGUUAGGCUGGACUGCCAUUGUGAAUAUGUGUACAGGUUUUAAGCGAAUAUCUUGGAACGAUUUCAAAGCUAUGGCUAACAAGCGUUCGAACGCAGCAAACGACCACCAAGCCUGCAGACUAUGACAACGUCACGGGUGUUUCCUACUUGACUCUGACCACGGGUCAUCACAUGUAUCAACCGCGCUUUUUCGUUACAUUUCAUUUCUGUUGGUUACAAUACAUGAAAUAAAUAAAUUGUCC